CGGUUAUGAGUAGGCGCGAGGAGACGUUAUCGAGUUUUGAAACGAGUUGUAGCUGGCCUUCCGGGGCAUGUGCACGCUCUGCUCAUCCACUCUACCCCUGUGCACUUACUGUAGGUUGGCGUGGGCUCCUUAACGGGAGCAUUCUGCCGGCCUAUGUAUACUACAAACACUUUAAAGUAUCAGAAUGUAAACGCGUCUAACGCAUCUAUAAUACAACUUUUAGCAACGGAUCUCUUGGCUCUCGCAUCGAUGAAGAACGCAGCGAAAUGCGAUAAGUAAUGUGAAUUGCAGAAUUCAGUGAAUCAUCGAAUCUUUGAACGCACCUUGCGCUCCUUGGUAUUCCGAGGAGCAUGCCUGUUUGAGUGUCAUGGAAUUCUCAACUUAUAAAUCCUUGUGAUCUAUAAGCUUGGACUUGGAGGCUUGCUGGCCCUUGUUGGUCGGCUCCUCUUGAAUGCAUUAGCUUGAUUCCGUACGGAUCGGCUCUCAGUGUGAUAAUUGUCUACGCUGUGACCGUGAAGUGUUUUGGCGAGCUUCUAACCGUCCAUUAGGACAACUUUUUAACAUCUGACCUCAAAUCAGGUAGGACUACCCGCUGAACUUAAGCAUAUCAUAAAGCCGAAAGGAAGAAU
rnacentral:rRNA from 1 species